ACACCGGCAGCCCAAGUGGUGGCCAUUUUUAUUGGGCCUAAAGCGUUCGUAGCCGGCCUGAUAAGUCUCUGGUGAAAUCCCGCAGCUUAACUGUGGGAAUUGCUGGAGAUACUAUCAGGCUUGAGGUCGGGAGAGGUUAGAGGUACUCCCAGGGUAGGGGGGAAAUCCUAUAAUCCGGGCAGGACCACCUGUGGUGAAGGCGUCUAACGGGAAGGAACCGGACGGUGAGGAACUAAGGCAAUGGGCGCGAAACGGAUUAGAUCCCCGGGUGGUCCUGGCCGUAAACGAUGUGGACUUGGUGUUGGGAUGGCCUCGAGCUGCACCAGUGCCGAAGGGAAGCUGUUAAGUCCACCGCCUGGGAAGUACGGUCGCAAGACUGAAACUUAAAUGAAUUGGCGGGG
rnacentral:rRNA from 1 species